UUCCCUUCGGGACCUAGUGACAGGUGCUGCAUGGCUGUCGUCAGCUCGUGUCGUGAGAUGUUGGGUUAAGUCCCGCAACGAGCGCAACCCUCGUCCUUAGUUGCCAUCAUUAAGUUGGGCACUUUAAGGAAACUGCCGGUGAUAAGCCGGAGGAAGGUGGGGAUGACGUCAAGUCCUCAUGGCCCUUACAGGCUGGACUACACACGUGCUACAAUGGCAUCUACAGUGGGCAGCUAUUCCGCAAGGAUGCGCUAAUCUCCAAAAGAUGUCUCAGUUCGGAUUGUCCUCUGCAACUCGAGGGCAUGAAGGCGGAAUCGCUAGUAAUCGCGGAUCAGCAUGCCGCGGUGAAUACGUUCCCAGGCCUU
rnacentral:rRNA from 1 species